ACCCGCUGAACUUAAGCAUAUCAAUAAGCGGAGGAAAAGAAACCAACAGGGAUUGCCCUAGUAACGGCGAGUGAAGCGGCAACAGCUCAAAUUUGAAAUCUGGCUCUUUUAGAGUCCGAGUUGUAAUUUGCAGAGGGCGCUUUGGCUUUGGCAGCGGUCCAAGUUCCUUGGGACAGGACGUCACAGAGGGUGAGAAUCCCGUACGUGGUCGCUGGCUAUUGCCGUGUAAAGCCCCUUCGACGAGUCGAGUUGUUUGGGAAUGCAGCUCUAAAUGGGAGGUACAUUUCUUCUAAAGCUAAAUAUUGGCCAGAGACCGAUAGCGCACAAGUAGAGUGAUCGAAAGAUGAAAAGCACUUUGGAAAGAGAGUCAAACAGCACGUGAAAUUGUUGAAAGGGAAGCGCUUGCAGCCAGACUUGCUUACAGUUGCUCAUCCGGGCUUUUGCCCGGUGCACUCUUCUGUAGGCAGGCCAGCAUCAGUUUGGGCGGUAGGAUAAAGGUCUCUGUCACGUACCUCUCUUCGGGGAGGCCUUAUAGGGGAGACGACAUACUACCAGCCUGGACUGAGGUCCGCGCAUCUGCUAGGAUGCUGGCGUAAUGGCUGU
rnacentral:rRNA from 1 species